rnacentral:lncRNA from 10 species
CUGAGACCAGACAAAAGUUACUCCCAAGGACACUCCUAGAGAGAUGACGGUGGUUCACAGCCUUACCGUUGCCCUGACGGCUCACCCUUGAAUGUUUUCCUGGGAGAAGCAAAGAAUCCUCCCAUGCUAAAUCCCAAUCUGGGGCUCGCCUGCCAUGUAUCAAGAGGACUAGACUUCUAGUUUUCAGCCUCUGGGUAUUUUUUAAAAUGAAGAAAUGCCAGAAAUGAGUCAAUAUAAUAGUGAUGUGGUUUCGA